rnacentral:pre_miRNA from 1 species
AGCUGGUGUUGGGAGGCGGAGACCUGAGCAAUUGCCGACUACCUCUGAGGGCAUUGCACUUGUCUCGGUCUGACAGUGCCGGUA